rnacentral:tRNA from 1 species
GCGGGUCAACGUUAUCUCGCCCGAGUGCGCCGGACUCAAAAUCCGGUUCCGAAAGGAGUGUCGGUUCGAUUCCGACUACCCGCACCA